rnacentral:piRNA from 1 species
UCGCAUGAGACAGAACUCAUUAAGAGGCA